CCUACGGGAGACAGCAGUGGGGGAUAUUGCACAAUGGGGGGAACCCUGAUGCAGCGACGCCGCGUGGGUGAAGAAGCGCCUCGGCGCGUAAAGCCCUUUCAGCAGGGAAGAAACUGACGGUACCUGAAGAAGAAGCCCCGGCUAACUACGUGCCAGCAGCCGCGGUAAUACGUAGGGGGCAAGCGUUAUCCGGAUUUACUGGGGGUAAAGGGGGCGCAGACGGCGAUGCAGGCCAGAAGUGAAAGCCCGGGGCCCAACCCCGGGACUGCUCUUGGAACUGCGUGGCUUGAGUGCAGGAGGGGCAGGCGGAAUUCCUGGUGUAGCGGUGAAAUGCGUAGAUAUCAGGAGGAACACCGGUGGCGAAGGCGGCCUGCUGGACUGCAACUGACGUUGAGGCCCGAAAGCGUGGGGAGCAAACAGGAUUAGAUACCCUAGUAGUC
rnacentral:rRNA from 1 species